AUUGAACGCUAGCGGAAUGCUUUACACAUGCAAGUCGAACGGCAGCGCGGGUGCUUGCACCUGGCGGCGAGUGGCGAACGGGUGAGUAAUGUAUCGGAACGUGCCCAGUAGCGGGGGAUAACUACGCGAAAGCGUAGCUAAUACCGCAUACGCCCUUCGGGGGAAAGGUGGGGAUUCUUCGGAACCUGUCACUAUUGGAGCGGCCGAUAUCGGAUUAGCUAGUUGGUGGGGUAAAGGCCUACCAAGGCGACGAUCCGUAGCUGGUUUGAGAGGACGACCAGCCACACUGGGACUGAGACACGGCCCAGACUCCUACGGGAGGCAGCAGUGGGGAAUUUUGGACAAUGGGGGAAACCCUGAUCCAGCCAUUUCGCGUGUGCGAUGAAGGCCUUCGGGUUGUAAAGCNCUUUUNNCGGGGAAGAAAAGCGCCGGGUUAAUACCCUGGCGCGCUGACGUACC
rnacentral:rRNA from 1 species